AUUUAAAUAGUUUAUUAAAAAUAUUGAUUUGUGGAAUCAAAGAUAUGGGCUUCAUUUUAGAUA
rnacentral:tRNA from 1 species